rnacentral:rRNA from 1 species
GGAGUUAGCCGGUGCUUCUUCUGCGAGUAACGUCACAGAUGUAAGGUAUUAACUUACACCCUUUCCUCCUCGCUGAAAGUGCUUUACAACCCGAAGGCCUUCUUCACACACGCGGCAUGGCUGCAUCAGGGUUUCCCCCAUUGUGCAAUAUUCCCCACUGCUGCCUCCCGUAGGAGUCUGGGCCGUGUCUCAGUCCCAGUGUGGCUGAUCAUCCUCUCAGACCAGCUAGGGAUCGUCGCCUAGGUGAGCCUUUACCUCACCUACUAGCUAAUCCCACCUGGGCUUAUCCAUCAGCGCAAGGCCCGAAGGUCCCCUGCUUUCCCCCGUAGGGCGUAUGCGGUAUUAGCAGUCGUUUCCAACUGUUAUCCCCCACAAAUGGGCAAAUUCCCAGGCAUUACUCACCCGUCCGCCGCUCGUCAUCUUCAAAGCAAGCUUUUGAAUGUUACCGCUCGACUUGCAUGUGUUAGGCCUGCCGCCAGCGUUCAAUCUGAGCCAGGAUCAAACUCUGA